AAUGAGAAAAGAAUAGGAGAGGGGGUGGAAAAGGACGGGAGUAGCCUCACUUCCAUAGUUCUGGAUGAUCCUGUAGGCGUAUGAGCGGGAAUCUCAUGGGAGCUCGUUUCUGUCCUCUUCCUUCUCUGUUUACCUUUUAAAAUGCCUUCCUCUUUCGCUAACUUCUUCUCAGCGGCAGCGCCAAAACAAAACACACCACCAUGUCCUCCUCCUCCUCUCUCUCUCUCUCUCGCCAUUGCCUGUCUUCUUCUUUUUCCUUCCGUCUCCCAAACCUCUUCCCACCACCUGCACCUGGUGGCUGUUCGCUGAGGGUUAAAGACAAAGGCGCUGUGCUGGAAUCAAGCAUCCGAUGCAUUAUCAAAUGCAACGCCAUUUCCAAGCCUCCCACUCAAGACUACAGCGAUGUGCUUCAAAGUGGAGUGCCACUUCUAAAGUGGCAGCAGUUUGUGGAGGAGGGCAUAGAAUCAGAAACUGCUGCCCAGGUGUCGGUUUGGGAAGAGAUAGAGGAGCGAGUGAAGUGGAUAAAGUCAAUGCUGAGUUCAAUGGACGACGGUGACAUAAGCAUCUCAGCUUAUGACACGGCUUGGGUGGCUCUAAUACCAAAAGUUACGGAGGAGGGAGUGAAGAGUCCGCAGUUCCCUUCUUCCCUUGAGUGGAUAGCCAACAAUCAACUCCCGGAUGGGUCAUGGGGCGACGCCCAGAUAUUCUCACCCCACGAUCGCAUCAUUAACACAUUGGCUUCUCUGGUCGCCUUGAAGUCUUGGAAUCUUCAUCCCCAAAACACACGGAAAGGAGUAGCCUUCUUCAACCAAAACAUUUGGAAGCUGGAAGAGGAGAAUGCGGAGCACAUGCCGAUCGGGUUCGAGAUUGCUUUCCCUUCCCUACUCGAAUUUGCCAAGAAACUAAAGCUGGGAAUCCGGAGCGACUCCCCGGCGUUGCAACAGAUUAAUGCCCGCAGGGCCCUAAAGCUUGCGAGGAUACCAAAGGACAUAAUGCACAAACUGCCAACCACGCUAUUGCACAGCUUGGAAGGCAUGAGUGGUUUGGAUUGGGAAAAGCUUCUAAAAUUGCAAUCUCAAGACGGCUCCUUCUUGAGCUCCCCAGCCUCCACUGCCUUCGCUCUCAUGCACACCAACCACCCAAAUUGCUUCAAAUAUUUGGAAGCAUUGGUGCACCGCUUUAAUGGUGGAGUACCCAACGUGUACCCUGUGGACCUGUUCGAACACAUUUGGGCUGUGGACAGAUUGCAACGACUUGGAAUUUCUCGAUUCUUUCACCCACACAUUGUUGAGUGUGUGAAUUAUGUGCGCAGACACUGGAGUGAAAAAGGAAUAUGCUGGGCCAGAAAUUCGGAGUUUCGCGACAUUGAUGACACGGCCAUGGGAUUCAGACUGCUCAGACUGUACGGCCACGAUGUUUCGGCGGAGGUGUUUAAGCAUUUCGAGAAAGAUGGGGAGUUCGUGUGCAUAGCGGGCCAGUCAACGCAGGCGGUCACCGGAAUGUUAAACUUGUACCGAGCUUCGGAUCAGGUAAUGUUUCCGGGGGAGAAAAUUCUAGAGGACGCCAAACAAUUUGCCUCCAAGUUCCUCAGGCAGAAACAGGCCGCCAAUCAGCUCUUAGACAAGUGGAUCAUCGCCAAGGACUUGCCUGGAGAGGUUGGUUACGCUCUUGACGUUCCAUGGUUUGCAAGCUUGCCUCGGGUUGAGACCCGUCUCUACAUACAGCACUAUGGUGGCAAAAAUGACGUCUGGAUUGGAAAAACUCUCUACAGGAUGUUCAAGGUCAACAACGAUACAUACUUGGAGCUUGCAAAAUUGGACUACAACAACUGCCAAAGAUUGCAUCAGAUUGAGUGGGUUGAUAUUCAAAAAUGGUACACAGAAAGCAAGCUGCGAGAUUAUGGAAUGAGGAGAAGCAGCAUUUUGUUCUCAUAUUUUGGUGCAGUGUGUAGCAUUUUCGAACCAGAAAGGGCCAAGGAGAGGCUUGCAUGGACCAAAACUGCUGCUUUGGUCCACACCAUUGCAUCCCAUUACAAGGAUGCCAAUGCCCACCAACGACGAGCCUUUCUCCAACAAUUUACCAACUUUCAUGCUGCUCAGCCAUACGAUAAUAAUGCAUGGAGAUCAGGCAAUAUGCAGCAGAAGGGAGGAGAAGGACUAGUUGGGAUUUUGCUGCGAACUCUAACAAAUAUCUCGUUGGAUAUACUUUCGCAGGAACAGCCAAUAGUUAGAUGCUGCACCUUAAACUGUGCUUAGAUGCUGAACUGGAUUUGGUUUGGCAGACAAAGACAAGAUAGGGCGCGAUAGCAACACAGAUUAAAUCAAGAUAUUCAGAAGGCAGAAGUAGGGUGUUGGUGAACUUUUUAAUCUCUGUUCUGGCCAUCAUCUGCCUGCCACAUUCCAGUGUCUAUUCCAUUCUGUAAUUUGUAUCAUACUGUACGAUCUCAAACUAAUGCUUCAUUUACGUUCUGUAGGCUUCUAUUUCAUUAUUUUCAUCCAUUCCUUCCUUACAUCCUCGGUUCUUAUUGGUUAGGUUCUUUGGCCUCAUGGGUUGGUUUUUCGAUACUUAAGUCUCUCCUUUUCUUAAUAUCCUCAAUCCUUUUCUUUUACACAUACCUCCUCUAAUUAUCUUAUAGCUUUUCACUUCUUUGCCUGCGGACUGUGAGGGAUCCUUCUUUACUGCCUUUUCAGUUUUUUUGUAAGACAAGGCGGGGUUCGGAUAAUAGUUUGCUUCUUCGCAAUUACUCCAUGUAGCACUUUUCUGUUUUCAGUACCUCUUGGAUUUGUCAUCUGUGUUCCUGUCUAGUAUGGAACUUUCUUAUUGGUUUUUGCAAGGUUCGUCUUCCUUCUCGAAUAUCAUUGACCACAUGGAGCGGUAUAUGAGACAAGCUUAGGAUGAACAGUUCAGGUGAUGAUUUUCAGUAGUAGUAUGGUUGGUUUCCCGUGGACGUAGUUCAUCACCAGAGAAAGGCUUCUUAGAAGCGAGUCCAGUUUAUGUUUGUGAUCCUUGUCUUGACAUCUGUGCUCACUUAAAGUCGUACGGUUGGUGUUGGAGUUUGUUUGUUUUUUCAUAUCAGUUUGAAUGGUAAUUGCCUUCGCUUUCUGUGUUUGAAGGGCAAUGUUUAUUGCAGCUCCCGAAAGUUGAGCAAUAUUGUAAUGUUGAUGUUAUGUAAUGUUUAUGUGUGUAAUCUAUAAAAUAUCGUACAAGCUUUCAGUUUGUUAACUA